rnacentral:rRNA from 1 species
CCUGGUGCUUUAAGCGUGGUGGAACCACUCCUACUCCAUCCCGAACUAGGAGGUGAAACGCUGCAGCGGCGAAGAUACUUGGUGGGUGACUGCCUGGGAAAAUAGCUCGGUGCCAGGG